rnacentral:sRNA from 1 species
GCGGAGGCGGCCGAUUUGGGGCUGGGGGCCGCCGUCCCCGUGGAGCUGAGGCGGGAGCGACGCAUGGUGUGCGUGGAGUACCCGGGCGUGGUGCGUGAUGUGGCUAAGAUGCUGCCGACUCUGGGCGGCGAGGAAGGCGUCUCCCGGGGAUGUCUGACUUCCAGUACUUGGCUGUGCAUACGGAAGCAGGCGGCAAGCAUACGUCAAUGUAUGACAAGGUGCUCAUGCUCCGGCCCGAGAAGGAGGCCUUUUUCCACCAGGAGCUGCCGCUCUACAUCCCCCCGCCCAUCUUCUCCCGGCUGGACGCCCCGGUGGACUACUUCUACCGACCAGAGACCCAGCACCGGUAAGGCCCCCCUCCAUGCAGCCUCGGUUCUCCAUCCUGAAAAUGGGAUGGGCCGGGCACGGAGGCUCACGCACUGGGCGUGGUGGUGCACACCUGUAAUUCCAGCUACUCGGGAGGCUGAGGCUGGAGAAUCACUUGAACCCAUGAGGCGGAGGUUGCAGUGAGCCAAGAUCGCGUCACUGCACUCCAGCCCGGGUGACAGAGUGAGACUUUGUCUCCCAAAAAAAAAAAAAGAAAAUGGGAUGACAGUAGUACCACCCAACAGAGGUAUUGGGAUUGAAUUUAAAAAGCGUGUGCAGUUCCCAGCACAGGGCUGAGUACAGAACAGGGCCUUAGUAAGCAGUGGCCUGUGUGAUCGCCAGGUUGGCCUCAGUCCUGAGGACAGUGCGAAGAGCGUGACUGUGGGACAUGUGGGUUCCUGCUGAGAAAUGUCCUUUGGCUUAAUCCCCUGGUCAUUGCUGACCAGCCAGU